rnacentral:lncRNA from 1 species
GUGACACAGGCAGCAUUGGGUUUAAGGUCUCAACACCUUGCUUUGGCUACCUCCCGGGCCCCUGUCACCACCAGGAGCUCAGGGGUCAGAUGGGCCAGAAUUUUGACCCCCAUGCUGCUGCUUAGAGCUGGACACCCUUUGAUUAGACACAAUCUCUUGGUACCUCAGUUUCUUCCUCUGUGAAAUGGGAUGGUGAUUAUAUAAACCAUCUUCAUGUGGUGGUUCUAGAGAUUAACAAGCUAAUGGACAUAACAGUAACAAUACCGUGUAUGUAAUGAGGUCAUGAUCACGUUUGUACACCCCUGGCACUGGCACAGUCUCAGCAGACAGAGGCUGCUGCCACUCCCCCACCCCACGGUGGCGCAAUCUCAGCUCACCGCAACCUCCGCCUCCCAGGCUCAAGUGAUUCUCCUG